GCCCAUGGAAAAAUCUUUGACAAACGAGGAGAUCUUGCAGGAUUAGGAAGGAAACCCCAAAAUGGCGUUGCAUUAAGCAAUGUGACCCCCUUUACAAGGUGUGGACUGGAUGCAGCUAAAUACAGAGCAACAAAACCUCCAAGAGAGUUUCCAACAAUAUAAACUGGUUCACCGAUAACCUGCAAGAGGUUAUAAACUUAGAAUAAGAAAAAUGAGACAUCAAUCCAACAGUUAAAGAUAUAUGUCACUGAACUGGUUGUGAAUAGGAAGAUUCUAAGUAGUAUGAAAACAAAACAAAAAAUGUAUGAUUGACAUAACAGUCCUGGGAGACACGUCAACAAUUAUAACCAGCAAAGUUGAACCUCUAACACAUAGAUCAGUUAUAUUCCCAGGAAUUUUCUUAGUCGUAUGACCAAAAACCAAGAAACAUUCACCAAACAAGAUGUGUUAACGAUACAUCAUUUUUCUUUCAUUAAGAAUUAGUGAGCACCAAAGAAAAUUUUCUUUUUUUUGAAAAGGAGGGUGACCCCCAGCCUGUGCAUCAUUGCGAUGCACACAGCCAUCAAGCAUCAAAGAAGAUGAUCACAUAGUGUUUCAACUGGGAGAUUCGCGAGUAAGCAAGAACUCAAUUAUGCAACUAUGACGAGUUUGAAUAUACAUGAUAUUUGGGAUUCUUGACCAGCUCACCAUAACAACGUUUCCACAAGUCUAUGUAUAGAUGUAUAGUACUAAGAAAAUACGUACAUAAUUAAAUUGUUGUGGAACUCCAUUCUUGGUAUCUGCUACCACUUGGUGAUCUAACAACAAGCACUCGUGAUGAAAGUAAAAUAGCUAACUUGCUCUCUAAAAAAAACUUGCUAAUUAUUGCAGGACUACCGGAGAGUGCAAAGCACAGGAAGAUUUGUUAACGUGAAAGACAUAUUAGCAAAAAGAAUACUGGAUUAAACAACAGAUAUUCCAAAAUGGUACCUCCUCAAUGAAAUGCUGGACCUGGUCACGCCACAAGUCUACAGAGUACACCAAUUCAUCUGCCCAUGGUUGCGAAUCUUGUCCAAAACCCCAAUACGAUUCCUCAUCAUCCGCCCCUGCCGUGGCCUUAGGAGCAGGGUCUUCCGACGGCAAUGACAUUCCCUGUCCUAGAAAAUCCAUUGUCCACACCUUGUAAUCACGUCCAAGAUCCAUCAAUUGCUUCUCAAAAUGGAAGGUGCCCACUCCAAAACCUGGUAGAAAAAGCACCGCUGGCGCCUUGCUAUUCUUGGUGCCAGACUUCUCGUAGUAUACCGUCAGCUUCGGCCUCCACUCCCACAUACCAGUGCUGAUUU
rnacentral:lncRNA from 1 species